rnacentral:rRNA from 1 species
GAUGAACGCUGGCGGCGUGCCUAACACAUGCAAGUCGAGCGAGAAUGUUGUGAUUGAUCCUUCGGGAGAGAGAUCAACAGGAAAGCGGCGGACGGGUGAGUAACGCGUGGGUAACCUGCCCUGUACAGAGGAAUAGCCAUUGGAAACGAUGAUUAAUGCCUCAUAAGACCACAGUAACACCUGUUACAGUGGUAAAAACUCCGGUGGUACAGGAUGGACCCGCGUUAGAUUAGCUAGUUGGUGAGGUAACGGCUCACCAAGGCGACGAUCUAUAGCCGACCUGAGAGGGUGAUCGGCCACACUGGAACUGAGACACGGUCCAGACUCCUACGGGAGGCAGCAGUGGGGAAUAUUGCACAAUGGGCGCAAGCCUGAUGCAGCAACGCCGCGUGAGUGAUGAAGGUCUUCGGGUCGUAAAACUCUUUUCUUUGGGAAGAAUAUUGACGGUACCCAAGGAAUAAGCCCCGGCUAAUUACGU